GUGGGUAACCUGCCUCAUACAGGGGGAUAACAGUUAGAAAUGACUGCUAAUACCGCAUAAGACCACGGAGCCGCAUGGCUCCGUGGGAAAAACUCCGGUGGUAUGAGACGGACCCGCGUCUGAUUAGGUAGUUGGUGGGGUAACGGCCUACCAAGCCGACGAUCAGUAGCCAACCUGAGAGGGUGACCGGCCACAUUGGGACUGAGACACGGCCCAAACUCCUACGGGAGGCAGCAGUGGGGAAUAUUGCACAAUGGGGGAAACCCUGAUGCAGCGACGCCGCGUGAGCGAAGAAGUAUUUCGGUAUGUAAAGCUCUAUCAGCAGGGAAGAAAAUGACGGUACCUGACUAAGAAGCACCGGCUAAAUACGUGCCAGCAGCCGCGGUAAUACGUAUGGUGCAAGCGUUAUCCGGAUUUACUGGGUGUAAAGGGAGCGUAGACGGCUGUGUAAGUCUGAAGUGAAAGCCCGGGGCUCAACCCCGGGACUGCUUUGGAAACUAUGCAGCUAGAGUGUCGGAGAGGUAAGUGGAAUUCCCAGUGUAGCGGUGAAAUGCGUAGAUAUUGGGAGGAACACCAGUGGCGAAGGCGGCUUACUGGACGAUGACUGACGUUGAGGCUCGAAAGCGUGGGGAGCAAACAGGAUUAGAUACCCUGGUAGUCCACGCCGUAAACGAUGACUACUAGG
rnacentral:rRNA from 1 species